GUGAGGAAUUUUCCGCAAUGGGCGAAAGCCUGACGGAGCAAUGCCGCGUGAAGGAUGAAGGCCUAUGGGUUGUAAACUUCUUUUCUCAGAAAAGAAUUAUGACGGUAUCUGAGGAAUAAGCAUCGGCUAACUCUGUGCCAGCAGCCGCGGUAAGACAGAGGAUGCAAGCGUUAUCCGGAAUGAUUUGGCGUAAAGCGUCUGUAGGUUGUUUAAAAAGUAUUCUGUCAAAGAUUAGGGCUUAACCCUAGAUAGGCAGAAUAAACUUUUAAGCUAGAGUUUGGUAGAGGCAGAGGGAAUUCCCGGUGGAGCGGUGAAAUGCGUAGAUAUCGGGAGGAACACCAAAGGCGAAGGCACUCUGCUGGGCCAAUACUAACACUGAGAGACGAAAGCGAGGGGAGCAAAUGGGAUUAGAAACCCGGGUAGUCC
rnacentral:rRNA from 1 species